UCAACUUUCUCUUUCUAAAACUCACUCUCUCUUUCUAAAAGUCACUUUCUUUAUCUCAAAUCCAAACCACCAUCUCAUCUCUCAACGAUUUACUUCUAUAAGCCUUCUCCUCUUCCACCGAUUUCGAUCUGACAGGGUUUUUGAAAUUGAUUUACAGUACAGAGGAGAAGAAAACGGAUAAUGAGAAGAUGCAUGCCUUACAAAAACUUAUUCCAGAUUCAUAUAAGGUGUUGGUUUAGAGAAGCCAAACGCGUGUGCGUUUAAUACUACACAGUUUGAUAACAUUCUUAAAAAGUUGAAAGUACAAGCAGCAGAAAUUAAAAAUGACAAAGGUAGACUUAAGCUACUGGAGAGGACGGUGACCAAAAAACAAAUCCGGACAAGGACCGCAGUGAAACAGCUAUCAAGUCUACACGUCCUCAAGGAAGAUACAAGAGAUUGGAGAGAAGAAAACUUGUCGACACAUAUUCCACCAAGGAUCAUGAAGAAAUUCUUACAGCGAGGCGCACAUUAGCAAGAACAUAGCAAAGACAGUGAGGUGGCUGAAAAAACUGAUGAGACUGGCCGGACAUCUCAAAGACAUUUCUUUACCCAUAAAUAUUAUUUCUUCAACUACAAACAAACUCACAUAUAAUUUGCAACCGAUCGAUCGAUCAUUCAUCUCUCUCUCAUGGAGUCUGCAGCUGUCAUGCGCUCUUUUAAUUAACGUGACAUCCUGUUGGAAAGAAGAUCCAAACGCUCGGUCAAAUUUCACUCAAAUAAUACAGAUGCUACAUAGUUACUUGGCUGCCAGCUCACCCCAGAACCGCGGCCCACAGCUAUCCCGCCUAGGAUUUUCGCUUCUCAAAAUGGAGUUUUUCCCCGGACUCUCCUGGUACAAGCAGUUUAAUUACAAAAACAGACGAAUCAACACCAAAAGCACCCGUAGAAGACACCCACAUAGGUAUUUUUCUCCUGCUUUUACCGGAGUUGUUGAUGGCGGAAUCAGAACUUGGAACUUACAAUCUUUACACAAUUAAAAAGGAGCAGCAGAAGAACCAAAGUAUUAGGACUUUGAAGCUAUAAAAAUUUCUUAGUUAAUUAAUUAAUUAUAUUUUGUAUCUAUAAUUUUGGAUAUAUGGUUCAUUUUUAAGGACUUA